GAUAGGUCCUGUCGUUACCGUGAUUGGACUCUGACGCAGAGUCAAUUAGCCUUGUGGCGUGGUUCUUCGCGCGGAACCCGGGGCGGGCCGAGCCAUCUGGGGGGAGGCUCGGACCGCCCCUG
rnacentral:ncRNA from 1 species